GAACUCAACCCUUUCUCUCUAUUGCUGCUCUACGUUCGUAGGUAGGAAGAAAAGAAAGGAAGAAAAGAAGAAGAAGAAGGAGAAGGAAGAGGAAGAAGAAGGAAGGGGGGUUGGUUUGGGCUAUAGCUGUCCCUAUUGCUGCCAGGAGGCUGCUUCCCUACCAAGAAGAUGUUGCUGCCAUUUCUCAUUUUCUACCAGAGAAGAUCCAAAGGGCUGCUAAGGUUGCUGCCUCUAUUGGGAAGGUGCUUGAGAGCUGGACAGCUGCACUAGGACACCCAUUGCUACACCUGCAAGUCCCAAGAAAUGAGAGGAGGUUAUCCGACUGAAGAGCUAGAGCUUGGGCCCACUGUGGAGUUUCCAGUUGAAAACAAGUGGAUCUCUAAAGAUCUGGCCAAGGGGCCGAGUGCCCAUGCAAUAGCUAUGUUGCAGGUCAACAACAUUAAUACCAUACUGGGAUUCUUUUUGAUUAUUUUAAAAUAUUACCCCUCUUGUGCUCUAGAUGUUUAAAUUAUAUUUCUUGUGUAUAUAUCAGGCCUGUGGGCCCACAUAUAAAUGUAUUAUGUAAUCCAAUUUGGAUAUCAAGGGUAUUGGGAUAUUUAUAGGUAAAUAUAUGUAAGACUUCCGCUGAAAUACCAAAAUUGCUUUGUUUA